rnacentral:rRNA from 1 species
UACGUAGGGUGCGAGCGUUGUCCGGAAUUAUUGGACGUAAAGAGCUCGUAGGCGGUGUGUCGCGUCGGCCGUGAAAACCUGCAGCUUAACUGUGGGCUUGCGGUCGAUACGGGCAUCACUGGAGUUCGGCAGGGGAGACUGGAAUUCCUGGUGUAGCGGUGAAAUGCGCAGAUAUCAGGAGGAACACCGGUGGCGAAGGCGGUUCUCUGGGCCUUACCUGACGCUGAGGAGCGAAAGCGUGGGGAGCAAACAGG